rnacentral:rRNA from 1 species
UAGGGAAUCUUCGGCAAUGGGGGGAACCCUGACCGAGCAACGCCGCGUGAGUGAAGAAGGUUUUCGGAUCGUAAAGCUCUGUUGUUAAGGAAGAACGAGUGUGAGAAUGGAAAGUUCAUGCUGUGACGGUACUUAACCAGAAAGGGACGGCUAACUACGUGCCAGCAGCCGCGGUAAUACGUAGGUCCCGAGCGCUGUCCGGAUUUAUUGGGCGUAAAGCGAGCGCAGGCGGUUAGAAAAGUCUGAAGUGAAAGGCAGUGGCUCAACCAUUGUAGGCUUUGGAAACUGUUUAACUUGAGUGCAGAAGGGGAGAGUGGAAUUCCAUGUGUAGCGGUGAAAUGCGUAGAUAUAUGGAGGAACACCGGUGGCGAAAGCGGCUCUCUGGUCUGUAACUGACGCUGAGGCUCGAAAGCGUGGGGAGCGAACAGG